UUUGACAUGUACGUGGUACGGAUCUGAAGGUGAGGACCCGGUCUUCGGACUGGGAGCGUACACAGGUGCUGCAUGGCUGUCGUCAGCUCGUGUCGUGAGAUGUUGGGUUAAGUCCCAUAACGAGCGCAACCCUUACCGUUAGUUACCAUCAGGUUAAGCUGGGGACUCUAGCGGGACUGCCACCGUAAGGUGAGAGGAAGGUGGGGAUGACGUCAAAUCAGCACGGCCCUUAUGUCCAGGGCUACACACGUGUUACAAUGGCCGGUACAAAGGGCAGCUACUUCGCGAGAAGAUGCUAAUCUCGAAAGCCGGUCUCAGUUCGGAUCGAAGUCUGCAACCCGACUUCGUGAAGCUGGAUUCGCUAGUAAUCGCGCAUCAGCCAUGGCGCGGUGAAUACGUUCCCGGGCCUU
rnacentral:rRNA from 1 species